AGUGAACGCUGGCGGUAGGCCUAACACAUGCAAGUCGAACGGCAGCACAGUAAGAGCUUGCUCUUACGGGUGGCGAGUGGCGGACGGGUGAGGAGUACAUCGGAAUCUACUUUUUCGUGGGGGAUAACGUAGGGAAACUUACGCUAAUACCGCAUACGACCUACGGGUGAAAGCAGGGGAUCUUCGGACCUUGCGCGAUUGGAUGAGCCGAUGGCGGAUUAGCUAGUUGGCGGGGUAAAGGCCCACCAAGGCGACGAUCGGUAGCUGGUCUGAGAGGGUGAACGGACACAUUGGGACUGAGGUACGGCCCAGACUCCUACGGGAGGCAGCAGUGGGGAAUAUGGCACAAUGGGAGGAAGCCUGAUGCAGCAACGCCGCGUGAGGGAUGACGGCCUUCGGGUUGUAAACCGCUUUCGCCUGUGAAGAAGCGUGAGUGACGGUAAUGGGUAAAGAAGCAACGGCUAACUACGUG
rnacentral:rRNA from 1 species